AUUGAACGCUGGCGGCAGGCCUAACACAUGCAAGUCGAACGGGUGGCGGACGGGUGAGUAAUGUAUGGGAAACUGCCUGAUGGAGGGGGAUGAGUACUGGAAACGGUAGCUAAUACCGCAUACCAUCGGAUGUGCCCAGAUGGGAUUAGCUAGUGGGUGGGGUAAAGGCUCACCAAGGCGACGAUCCCUAGCUGGUCUGAGAGGAUGACCAGCCACACUGGAACUGAGAAACGGUCCAGACUCCUACGGGAGGCAGCAGUGGGGAAUAUUGCACAAUGGGCGAAAGCCUGAUGCAGCCAUGCCGCGUGUAUGAAGAAGGCCUUCGGGUUGUAAAGUACUUUCAGCGGGGAGGCGUUACCCGCAGAAGAAGCACCGGCUAACUCCGUGCCAGCAGCCGCGGUAAUUC
rnacentral:rRNA from 1 species